GCAGAAUGCGACGAAUACGAGAUGGUUGGCUCAAAAUGAGUGCUGUUGCGAUUUAUUAAAUUGAUGCUAUUACAAACAAUGGGAAGAGAAGAGAGGCUGAAAAGCAGGCUUGACAAUUUUGUGAAGAGGAGGAGGCUCAAGAAAAGCAAUGGAUCAAUUUUACAAAUCAUGUAACGUGCACAUAGCUGAUAACUCCACUGCUGUGCAUCAAUCGGUCUUCUUUUAUUGGUACGCAGUCACCGGUCGCGAUCAAGCUAUUAGCCAGUUAGUGAAGAUGCAGUAAACUAUAAUGGAGACUUCGCACGGCUCUGUACUACUGAGAGGUUGGGGCAUCGGUGAACGUUUCGGCCAAAACUGGGUCAUCUUUAGUAUGUCAAAAUGAUAAGACAAAAAGUGUAUAAUUUAAAGUAAUAAUGGAGUGUCAAUAUGAUAAAAAUAUUAGCGCGAUUAGUACAAAGAUUCCCACAGAUAAAACAUAAAAUUAUCUAGUCGCUAUAAACGCAGGUAUUAUGUACUGGGUC